GUAACGGUGUCUUUAGACACCACCCUUUGUUUUUGAAAUUUUGAU
rfam:Picea glauca, whole genome shotgun sequence.